rnacentral:rRNA from 1 species
AUUGAACGCUGGCGGCAGGCCUAACACAUGCAAGUCGAACGAGUGGCGGACGGGUGAGUAAUGUCUGGGAAACUGCCUGAUGGAGGGGGAUAACUACUGGCAACGGUAGCUAAUACCGCAUCCCAUCGGAUGUGCCCAGAUGGGCUUAGCUAGUAGGUGGGGUAAAGGCUCACCUAGGCGACGAUCCCUAGCUGGUCUGAGAGGAUGACCAGCCACACUGGAUCUGAGACACGGUCCAGACGCCUACGGGAGGCACGAGUGGGGAAUAGUGCACAAGGGGAGCAAGCCUGAUGCAGCCAUGCCGCGUGUAUGAAGAAGGCCUUCGGGUUGUAAAGUACUUUCAGCGGGGAGGCGUUACCCGCAGAAGAAGCACCGGCUAACUCCGUGCCAGCAGCCGCGGUAAUUC